UGUACCGACAGUUUUUUUUUUUAGUUUCCGACAUGGUUUCAGAGGAACCGCCCAAGAGCUCGAGUGCUGUAGUUUGGCUAUAAACAACACGUUGAGGAAAGGAGUUUUACAUUAAAUACAUUUAAUCUGAUCGGAGAACAUAAAAAAAAUCACUUUUGGAUAUUUUAUUUGGCCAAUUUCCUUGUUUUUAAACGAUUUCUUGACGCUCACAGUGUCAGUCGAUUUAGCGCACCGUUUAUUCGGUAUACAACCCGUGAAAAAUUAAACGAGUAAAACAAUAAAUGCUGAGAGUUGCAGUCUGCUCCUCGGCGACGGAGAUGACUUUUGACAGACAGAAUGCCCGCAUUUAAAUCCUGAAUUUCCGCGAUCAAGAGCGCACUUGAGUGUAUUUUAUGUUUAAAGGUUUAAUUUCCAGCGCUGUCAUUUUAUAUGGGUCCAUUAUUUAUCUUUAUGAAAACAUGUUAUGUUUAAAAGUGGAUGGAAUGGAAUAUAAAAAAAUGGAAACAUGAUUUUAGCAAGUUUAACAUGAAAAUCUACAAAACGUACUUUAUACUAUAGCACCAUACAACUUCAAAACCUCUUUAAAAAGAUGAUUAUCGGAAGGUACGCUUUGACAGUAUCUUGUAUCUUCCAGUUUCGUUUCCCACUUUAAUGGUCAGAAGGCGGUGCUAAAGUUAGUUGGGUUAGAUUUUUUUUCUUAUUAGUUAUCUAUAUUCUGUAGGAAACCGACGACCAUAUUUUAAUCUCGGGAAAACUGGAUUUAAAAUUUCCUCUCCCCUGGUAGACAAGCCUUAACGGAAUACAUUUUUAAAAUUUAUUUGGAACAUUCUGACAACAUUCAUGGAAAAUAACGACAAUCCCCAGGAAGCUGAUGCACAUUCCCCUUCAAGAAUGGAGGCACUGAUGAAAAAUUGUAAGCUUCAGAAAAAUAAAGAAGAAGUUAAGCAGAGACUUGUGCAAAGUGGAACGGAUUUCAUCUUGGUGUUCUGGAAAGUGCUGUCAGCCUUAGAGGAAAAUAUCCAAAGCAAUGCAGAUGUGUCUGUAGCGACUCUGAUGGCUUACAUGGCUGAGGUUCUUCACUGUAUAUUCUUCUUGGGGCACAUCCAUGAAAUGCCCAUUAAUCCCAAGACCUUCUUCCAGAACGACAGACUGUUUCAGAUAUUUAAGAGGCAGUUUCCAGAGCCUUUCGAGCACUACUCCACCCAUCUGCCAAAACGCACACCAUUCUCCAUCCUUCUUGAUAUGGUAUCAAAGGUGAAGGGUCACACAGAUCACAGAACUAUACUGAGCCAAGUGGAGGAGGUGAAGAAAAAAUUAACUGAGAAAAGCAAAGACAACCAAUUUGGAAAUAACUACAGCUUGACAGCCAGUGUCAUCUGCAUGUCCUACUUCUGCACACCAGAGAAAGGGUUUAAUUAUGGAGCGUCUCUUUCUUGCAGCGGUAAAGUAGAGACUAAGAUCAUGAUCGCACUCUCGUGCAUCAAAACGUGGAAUGAUGCAGUUGCACACGCCGUCUGUCACGCUAAGAAAGGGGGCUUCAUCAAAUUUCCUGACGGGGUGACAUGCCAGGCCUAUAUAUAUGAUCUAAAAUCAGGCUACAAUAUUGAGAAAGCCCCCUGCAAGAAGUGUCACGGGAUGUUCCGGAACGUGAACUUUCUGCCUCCACCAUCUGAAUGGCCAAAAGGGCAGGACUGGCAGUAUGGCAAUUGUGCUGAAACUGAAUCUCUCAGCCACCUCCUUAACACAGAGCAAAAUGUGAGGAAUGCAAUUAAGGCUUUUAAAACACACGAGGUAAUUAUAAACAGAGAAGAAAUCGUGCAGGAAGCAAAAAAGAACGUGACCCAGCUGCUGAAUUCGAGAAAGUUUAGAAUCCAAUUGGACGAUUUUAAAUUCUUUGCUGUGCAGAAUUGACUACAACACUUUCAGACCUAAAGCUCGUUUAAUAAACUUUUGUUGAACCAAACAAAGCUGGGAUUCUGCAGAGGCACCAUUACGGGACACUUUGGAAUUUCACUACAGGCCCUGCAUUCAGUAGUUCUGUCAAAUUCUAAUAACAACAUAUGGGGCCAAUGAAUAGAAAGGAUAGCAUGCUCGAUAGUCUGGUGUUAACUCUUCUGGCUAAAGAAAUGCAGCGCUGGCUUACGAACAUGUACGAGAAAUGAAUCAGGGAGCUCCUGCAAGGGUGAAGUUGAGGUGGAGGAGGAGCUAAAAAAGAUCAGAGUUGUGAUGGUACUGUAUGUACUAUAAUACAGUACGUAAGAGAGCAGAAGUGCAUUUAGCAUUAGACCAUCCCCCAAAGUUGUGUUAAAUAAUACAGCAUGUUACAAAAGAUAUAUUGGUGUGUUUGACUAAAUGCACUAGUAUGGUGUAUUUAGGUUUUUUACCUUUUUACUUUUGGAAGCAUGAUGUUAGAAAUAUUGGCUGCAUGCAGAAACCAAAAGAACUUGUUUUAAAAAAAGGAGCAGAAUAACCUUGAUUUUGUGGUGAGAAAAACUUUACUCACCAGCGGUUGGGACUGGAAAUCAGAUCCAAAUUCGUAUUUAUUCUGCACUAUAUUAACACUAUAUUUCCAUAGUGUUUACAUACAGUAUUUGCUUUACUUUGCAGGCUCUCUUAAAACCAAAUAUUUUAUAUCUAUUUAGAACUGUGUAACAUUUAGACUGCAAAAUAAAGCAUCUUUGUGUAAACAUUUUGAAAACCCACAAAAACAUAUCCUUUUGAAAUAGAAAAAUGUUAUUUUGAUUUGAUUGACAAAUCAGAAUAUUGCUGAAGACUCCAAAUCCCAUAAAAGUAAGAAGAAUGCUUUUACUAUUCUUUAUUUUGAACAUUUUUCUUUUUUUAAGGUUGUCCUUUCUAUACCAUAGAAGGUUUCUUUUCAUGUAUACUGUAUGUUUCACAUUUCACAUUUUUAAUGGCUGAUGUUAUGAAACAGUAACAGUCUUUCCUGAAAUAAAGAUAUUUAAUAUUCAUGGAUUUUCUUAUGUUUAUAUUGUGAAAACUGAUCAACUGGCAUUCAAUAAAGUAUUUUUUUAUCAAUUCCUGUCUUCCAACACCAGAUUGAAAUGACUUGCACCUUAUCCUGUAAUUGAGCCGCAUUCAUUUUUUAUAUUUUUGUUCCUAAACUGCACAAAUGUUUACUACUUAUUUCAGAGGAUAACCAGCUUCAUGCUGAAUAAUCAGUCAUGAGAUGGAAUCUUGCAGGUUUUGUUUGGAUCUUUGAAACAGCAGCAGGUUGUCCUGGAAAGUCAAGUAAAUGAAUGCAAGUGUUUAUUUUAAGAAGUGAAUAAAAACUCAAAGGCAGGAGUUACCUAGGUCUGUUUUAUUUAAAUGGCUACAAUUAACAACAGGUGUAGCACCUAGAACCUUUAACACUUUCAGUCUAAAUUGAAAAGCCUUGGGGCGAUAAUCGCUUCUGGCUUAAUAUUCGACCCACUUGUACAGUAUAUUGUCAAAACAUCUUUUUUUCACCUCAGAAACAUCGCUAGACUACGCCCUAUGUUAUCACUAACUGUGGCUGAAAAGCUGAUCAACACAUUUGUGUUUUCCCAAAUGGACUACUGUAAUGCUCUACUCGCUGGGGUAUCUAAAUCACCAUUGAACAAACUGCAGUAUUUUCAAAUUUGGGCAGCCAGAAUCCUGACCAGCUCUAGCGCAAGUGAUCACAUGACUCCUAUUCUGGAGUCCUUGCACUGGCUUCCUGUCACAUUCUGUGUAGACUUUAAAAUCCUCAUUCUCACCUAUAAGGCUCUUGGCUUGGCACCUCAGUACCUGUCUGAACUAUUAUCGCCCUACUCCCCACCUCGCAACCUUCACUCUUCAAAUUCUGGUCUCCUAACUGUCCCCCAAGUCCAUCUACAUUGUAUGGGUGACAGGGCCUUCUCCUGUUAUGCCCCCAAGCUCUGGAACUCUCUCCCCAAGGAUAUCAGAGAGUCACCUUCUUUAAACUCCUUCAGAUCCAGACUCAAAACCUUCUUCUUUAGAAGAGCCUUUACUUAACUGGUUCCGUUCUUUACCCCUCUACUCUGAGUAGUUUUUUCCGAGUCAUCUGCAGGACACAAUGUUACAAGUAAAUUAACAUUACUUCUAUAUAAGCUGCUGAAAACUCACAUUCUUUAACUGUCUCCUGCAGUAGCUCCACAGCGCUGGGAAUUGUUCGGACAAUUUUAGUUUUUCAGACAGCCGAGUAAAUAAACACGCUGUGUGUCUCCAUCCUCCUGAGAGUCACCCUUUUUACCACUGUAAACACAAGGACUGACACACAAAGGUAACCAAUGCGCAACUGAUAUUUACCUAGCGCUUAGUUUAGGACGAUCUAACACACUUAACACACUUUCUAGCCCCAGGACCAUCAUUAAGAACUACUCCAUUUUACAGGACGAUCCCUCCAUCUGUACCCUUUUUUCCGAGCGCCCAAUCAUCUCUUACCACUGACCAGCCAGUCUAUGUAAACGUCUGGUUCACAGCUCCCCUUGACCGCACUCGGCCAUCACCCCCACCAGGCACCCUCCCCUGCAACAGACUCACUGCAUCACCUGCAAAUACAUAUCUAACAACACGCUCAUUCAGGGCCCCGCAGGUCAAUUCCGGAUCAUCCAGACAACAUCCUGUAUCUCCAGCAAUCUCCUUUACUGUAUCUCUCGCAAAAAAACGCCCAGUUAUCUACGUUGGGGAAACCGGAAGGAGACUAGGAGACUGCUUCAGAGAAUAUGUUAGGACUGUGAGGAUUAAAGAUUUCUCCAAGCCCAUAGUUUCUCCUUUCACCUCAGACGGCCAUGAUCACACUGAUCUCUCUGUCUCCGUUCUCAAAGACGGGUUUCUCAACUCCCAUAGCUGAAAAAUGACUCAUCCUGAAACUAGGUUCACACCUUCUCCCUUCUCUCAAUGAAAGACUUAUUUUCGUGUAAUCUUCUCUAUUCUCAUGCUGGUUUCGACUUCACACCUUUCUCCACCCCUCUCCACUUCGUACUUCCUGAGUGGCCUCUCUGUCUCUCCCCUCUCCCACCACUUUUCCAGCUCUUGUUCUCCUGUGCUAUUUAAUCUCUGCCGUCUACCCUGUCUUUCUCACACCUGAAAAAGGACCCACGUUGUGUCUCCUUUCUUUUCUUUUCAGCAGGGAAUAAACCCACUACUUGUUCCUUUGCAGUUUAGUACGAUGCUGCGCACUAACCCCGGGGGUCAUCCCCAGUAACGCGUGCAACUGUCCUUCUACUGCAGAAAGCCCUCCGUGCCACAUCUAAACUUGCGUGUCAAACUCACAGAAUAUUCGCCGGUAACUAAGACGGCUGGCUAGCUCAGCCAGUCCGACAGUGACUCAGUUCUGUCUCGGCUGCUGGUGCAAUUGCCUAAUCAGAAGCUCACACCUGAAGAAGGCUCCACGGCCGAAACGUUGUGUUCUCUUUCUUCUUUUUUCAGCAUGGAAUAAACCUAUUACUUGUUCCUUUGCAGCCUACGCAUGCUGACGCAGCUACCCACCUGAACUACUACCGCCUACAGCUG
ensembl:lincRNA